GAUGAACGCUGGCGGCGUGCCUAAUACAUGCAAGUCGAGCGAACGGACGAGAAGCUUGCUUCUCUGAUGUUAACGGCGGACGGGUGAGUAACACGUGGAUAACCUACCUAUAAGACUGGGAUAACUUCGGGAAACCGGAGCUAAUACCGGAUAAUAUUUUGAACCGCAUGGUUCAAAAGUGAAAGACGGUCUUGCUGUCACUUAUAGAUGGAUCCGCGCUGCAUUAGCUAGUUGGUAAGGUAACGGCUUACCAAGGCAACGAUGCAUAGCCGACCUGAGAGGGUGAUCGGCCACACUGGAACUGAGACACGGUCCAGACUCCUACGGGAGGCAGCAGUAGGGAAUCUUCCGCAAUGGGCGAAAGCCUGACGGAGCAACGCCGCGUGAGUGAUGAAGGUCUUCGGAUCGUAAAACUCUGUUAUUAGGGAAGAACAUAUGUGUAAGUAACUGUGCACAUCUUGACGGUACCUAGUCAGAAAGCCACGGCUAACUACGUG
rnacentral:rRNA from 1 species